UACGAAGGGGGCUAGCGUUGCUCGGAAUUACUGGGCGUAAAGGGCGCGUAGGCGGAUAGUUUAGUCAGAGGUGAAAGCCCAGGGCUCAACCUUGGAAUUGCCUUUGAUACUGGCUAUCUUGAGUUCGGGAGAGGUGAGUAGAAUGCCGAGUGUAGAGGUGAAAUUCGUAGAUAUUCGGCGGAACACCAGUGGCGAAGGCGACUCACUGGCCCGAUACUGACGCUGAGGCGCGAAAGCGUGGGGAGCAAACAGG
rnacentral:rRNA from 1 species